CCUACCUUUAACAGGGGGAUAACACUGAGAAAUUGGUACUAAUACCCCAUAAUAUCAUAGAAGGCAUCUUUUAUGGUUGAGAAUUCCGAUGGUUAGAGAUGGGCAUGCGUUGUAUUAGCUAGUUGGUGGGGUAACGGCUCACCAAGGCGACGAUACAUAGGGGGACUGAGAGGUUAACCCCCCACACUGGUACUGAGACACGGACCAGACUCCUACGGGAGGCAGCAGUGAGGAAUAUUGGUCAAUGGACGCAAGUCUGAACCAGCCAUGCCGCGUGCAGGAUGACGGCUCUAUGAGUUGUAAACUGCUUUUGUACGAGGGUAAACGCAGAUACGUGUAUCUGUCUGAAAGUAUCGUACGAAUAAGGAUCGGCUAACUCCGUGCCAGCAGCCGCGGUAAUACGGAGGAUUCAAGCGUUAUCCGGAUUUAUUGGGUUUAAAGGGUGCGUAGGCGGUUUGAUAAGUUAGAGGUGAAAUUUCGGGGCUCAACCCUGAACGUGCCUCUAAUACUGUUGAGCUAGAGAGUAGUUGCGGUAGGCGGAAUGUAUGGUGUAGCGGUGAAAUGCUUAGAGAUCAUACAGAACACCGAUUGCGAAGGCAGCUUACCAAACUAUAUCUGACGUUGAGGCACGAAAGCGUGGG
rnacentral:rRNA from 1 species